AACGAACGCUGGCGGCAUGCCUAAUACAUGCAAGUCGAACGAGACCUUCGGGUCUAGUGGCGCACGGGUGCGUAACGCGUGGGAAUCUACCCUUGGGUUCGGAAUAACAUCGGGAAACUGAUGCUAAUACCGGAUGAUGACGUAAGUCCAAAGAUUUAUCGCCCAGGGAUAAGCCCGCGUAGGAUUAGCUAGUUGGUGAGGUAAAGGCUCACCAAGGCGACGAUCCUUAGCUGGUCUGAGAGGAUGAUCAGCCACACUGGGACUGAGACACGGCCCAGACUCCUACGGGAGGCAGCAGUAGGGAAUAUUGGACAAUGGGGGCAACCCUGAUCCAGCAAUGCCGCGUGAGUGAUGAAGGCCUUAGGGUUGUAAAGCUCUUUUACCCGGGAUGAUGAUGACAGUACCGGGAGAAUAAGCCCCGGCUAACUCCGUGCCAGCAGCCGCUGUAACAC
rnacentral:rRNA from 1 species